UCUGGNGUNNANAACAUCGCACAGUAUNANCGUGCCCNNCUUCGCAAAGUCCGAUGCGCUGACGGGUGAUGAACACAAUGGGAACGUGCCCUUCUGGCCGGAAUUGCNUAUGGAACCUUGCGCUUGUACUCGCCUACCUCACUUACGGGGAAAGGUUUACUGCCGAAGGAUCGGCCCGCGUCUGAUUAGCUUGUUGGUGGGGUAACGGCCUACCAAGGCGACGAUCAGUAGCUGGUCUGAGAGGAUGAUCAGCCACACUGGGACUGAGACACGGCCCAGACUCCUACGGGAGGCAGCAGUGGGGAAUAUUGGACAAUGGGCGCAAGCCUGAUCCAGCCAUGCCGCGUGAGUGAUGAAGGCCUUAGGGUUGUAAAGCUCUUUUGUCCGGGACGAUAAUGACGGUACCGGAAGAAUAAGCCCCGGCUAACUUCGUGCCAGCAGCCGCGGUAAUACGAAGGGGGCUAGCGUUGCUCGGAAUCACUGGGCGUAAAGGGCGCGUAGGCGGCCGAUUAAGUCGGGGGUGAAAGCCUGUGGCUCAACCACAGAAUUGCCUUCGAUACUGGUUGGCUUGAGACCGGAAGAAGACAGCGGAACUGCGAGUGUAGAGGUGAAAUUCGUAGAUAUUCCCAAGAACACCAGUGGCGAAGGCGGCUNUCUGGUCCGGUUCUGACCCUGAGGCCCGAAACCUUGGGGAGCAAACAGGAUUAGAUACCCUGGUAGUCCCCCCCGUAAACAAUGAAUGCCACCCUUGGCCUGCUUGCAGGUAAUGGCCCCCCUAACCAUUAAACAUUCCCCUGGGGAAUACCGGCCCCAAAAUUAAAAUA
rnacentral:rRNA from 1 species